GGCGGGUAGAGCGGGAGGGCGAACGCCUGGAGAAGCCACCUGAUUGCCCUCUGGAGCUAUACGCUGUAAUGCGAAAGUCCUGGGCAUGCAAUCCUGCAGACAGACCCAGCUUUGCCCAGCUCACUGCGAUGGUGGCGGAGGCUAAACCCAGAGAGGUGCAAGCAAUAAGAGAAUUUGCAGAACCCAGAAAGCUCACACUUUUGCCCAACGACCUCGUGACUGUCAUCGACCACAGUCUGGAGCUGAGUGAGUGGAGGGGGCAGAACCAGAGGAC